rnacentral:rRNA from 1 species
AUUGAACGCUGGCGGCAGGCCUAACACAUGCAAGUCGAACGGUAGCACAGAGAGCUUGCUCUCGGGUGACGAGUGGCGGACGGGUGAGUAAUGUCUGGGAAACUGCCCGAUGGAGGGGGAUAGCUACUGGAAACGGUAGCUAAUACCGCAUAACGUCGCAAGACCAAAGUGGGGGACCUUCGGGCCUCACACCAUCGGAUGUGCCCAGAUGGGAUUAGCUAGUAGGUGGGGUAAUGGCUCACCUAGGCGACGAUCCCUAGCUGGUCUGAGAGGAUGACCAGCCACACUGGAACUGAGACACGGUCCAGACUGCUACGGGAGGAAGAAGUGGGGAAUAUUGCACAAUGGGCGCAAGCCUGAUGCAGCCAUGCCGCGUGUAUGAAGAAGGCCUUCGGGUUGUAAAGUACUUUCAGCGGGGAGGAAGGCGGUGGAGUUAAUAACUUCACCGAUUGACGUUACCCGCAGAAGAAGCACCGGCUAACUCCGUGCCAGCAGCCGCCGUAA